rnacentral:sRNA from 1 species
UAAAGAUGUUGCUAUACUGUCUUCUGGCUUGCAUUGUUUCUGAUGAGAAGUCUGCUGUCAUUCUUUUCUUUGUUCCUCUGAAAAAAAUGCCUGUGGAUGUGGACAAAGAUUCAUCCCUAGUGACUCUCUGUUAUGGACUCUGUGUUCUGGGACGGAGAGCUUUGGGGACUGCAUCCCAUCAUAUGUCCAGUAAUUUAGAGUCAUUCCUCUAUGGAUUGCAUGCCCUAUUUAAAGGAGAUUUCCGUAUUUCUUCAAUUCGAGAUGAAUGGAUCUUUGCUGACAUGGAAUUGCUAAGAAAAGUAGUAGUCCCUGGGAUCCGUAUGUCCAUUAAACUUCAUCAGGAUCAUUUUACUUCUCCAGAUGAAUAUGAUGACCCUACUGUGCUCUAUGAAGCCAUAGUAUCUCAUGAGAAGAACCUCGUAAUAGCCCAUGAAGGGGACCCUGCAUGGCGGAGUGCAGUACUUGCCAACUCUCCCUCCUUGCUUGCUCUGCGGCAUGUCAUGGAUGAUGGCACCAAUGAAUAUAAAAUCAUCAUGCUCAA